rnacentral:ncRNA from 1 species
GUGACAAAGCCCAACGGCUGAGUUGCAACACAAUCGAAUUGCGGGGAAGUCCUAAAGCCUCAGGGUACUAACCUGCUGUAGGAAUGCAGCAGGGGCCUGUGUUAAUCGCACAGGGUAUAGUAACAACCCCGGAGGAUCUAGCCAGGUGUGCUAGAAUGGACGAUCCGCAGCGAAGCCCCUAGACCAGGGGAACGUUCACAGACUAAGUGGUUGUGGGUAGGAGGGACUCCUGCUUAAGAUAUAGUCGGGCCGGCGCGGAAACGCGCUGGGGAUUCGCAAGAACGUAAACCGCUCCGUAGGUGAACCUGCGGAGGGAUC